AUUGAACGCUGGCGGCAUGCUUUACACAUGCAAGUCGAACGGUAACAGGCCGCAAGGUGCUGACGAGUGGCGAACGGGUGAGUAAUGCAUCGGAACGUGCCCAGUCGUGGGGGAUAACGCAGCGAAAGCUGCGCUAAUACCGCAUACGAUCUCUGGAUGAAAGCGGGGGACCGAAAGGCCUCGCGCGAUUGGAGCGGCCGAUGUCAGAUUAGGUAGUUGGUGGGGUAAAGGCCCACCAAGCCAACGAUCUGUAGCUGGUCUGAGAGGACGACCAGCCACACUGGGACUGAGACACGGCCCAGACUCCUACGGGAGGCAGCAGUGGGGAAUUUUGGACAAUGGGCGCAAGCCUGAUCCAGCAAUGCCGCGUGCAGGAAGAAGGCCUUCGGGUUGUAAACUGCUUUUGUACGGAACGAAACGGCUCUGGUUAAUACCUGGGGCUAAUGACGGUACCGUAAGAAUAAGCACCGGCUAACUACGUGCCAGCCGCCGCCGUAACAC
rnacentral:rRNA from 1 species